UACAGAGGUCCCGAGCGUUGUUCGGAUUCACUGGGCGUAAAGGGUGCGUAGGUGGUGAGGAAAGUCGGAUGUGAAAUCUCCGGGCUUAACCCGGGAAAAUGGCAUUGGAAACUACCUUGCUAGAGGUUUUGAGGGGGGACUGGAAUUCUCGGUUGUAGCAGUGAAAUGCGUAGAUAAUCGAGAGGAACACCGGUGGCGAAGGCGAGUCCCUGGAAAACACCUGACACUGAGGCACGAAAGCUAGGGGAGCAAACAGG
rnacentral:rRNA from 1 species